rnacentral:rRNA from 1 species
AAACUGCCUGAUGGAGGGGGAUAACUACUGGAAACGGUAGCUAAUACCGCAUAAUGUCGCAAGACCAAAGUGGGGGACCUUCGGGCCUCAUGCCAUCAGAUGUGCCCAGAUGGGAUUAGCUAGUAGGUGGGGUAACGGCUCACCUAGGCGACGAUCCCUAGCUGGUCUGAGAGGAUGACCAGCCACACUGGAACUGAGACACGGUCCAGACUCCUACGGGAGGCAGCAGUGGGGAAUAUUGCACAAUGGGCGCAAGCCUGAUGCAGCCAUGCCGCGUGUGUGAAGAAGGCCUUCGGGUUGUAAAGCACUUUCAGCGGGGAGGAAGGCGUUAAGGUUAAUAACCUUGGCGAU